AUCGUGCCGACGGUGCUCGCGGCCGAAGCCGGCGGCCGCCACACACGAUGACGAGCCGGUGAGUCCUCAUUCCUUUUCUUCUUUCCUUCUUUUCUUUCUUUUCUUUCUUUUCUUUCUUGCCUUCUUCUCUGCUUUCCCUCUCUUCUUCCGUGACCAUAGAGGGGGCGACCCCAUGCCGGGGCUCGGGAGGGGGGCCGAAUGGAGGUCGGCAGGCGGCUCCUGUGGCGCCUGUAGCAGCCGCGGCCCGUGGUCGCCGACCCUCUCUCCUUCCCAUGGAGAAGAGGGAUCUCGGGAGAGGAAGAGCCAGCGGCGGGGACCAACGGCGCCGGCGACGCUCGCGGCCGCACACGGGUGAGUCCCCUCUUCCCUCUCUCCUUUUUCUUCUUUCUUUCAUUUUCUUUUCUUUCCUCCCUUCUUCUUCUUCACCGAGACCCCCCCUAUCCCACUCUAAUCUCCUCCCCUUCCCAUCUCAAGGAAGAAGAGGAGGCGGCUUGGGAGAGGCCGAGCUUGGGGUCACGCCACGGCCGGCGGCGCCCGCGGCUGACUCCUGCGGCCGUGUCCGUGGCCGUGCUCGCAGCCGGUCCGCAGCCUGUGCCUGCGGCCGAGCCGAGGCCGGCAACGUUCACGCCGUCGGCGACGUCCCUGGCUGCGCAUGGUUAACCCCCUCCCCCUUCAUCUUCUUUUCUUUUAAUUCAUACGCUGAACAAUUGAAAGGAGGUAGCCGGGAGGGAUUUACCUUGAUUCCGAAGGAGAUUGCAGUAUNNNNNNNNNNNNNNNNNNNNNNNNNNNNNNNNNNNNNNNNNNNNNNNNNNNNNNNNNNNNNNNNNNNNNNNNNNNNNNNNNNNNNNNNNNNNNNNNGGUGGGGUGCGAGGUGUCACGCCCAGCUUCCUCCUCAUGAAAGGCUUAACAGCUGGGUCUUCCACAGCUUCCCAGCUGGCCCUACCCUAGUCACAUCCAUCCUCAGGCUAUGAGAUAGCAGCCAUCAAAUAGCUGCCAACAAUGGGCCCCAGUUGGGCCCAUUAGGUGUCCUGGCCCAAUGCUCAAGUACGAGCCCAAAAAGGUAUUGGGCUUAAAUUGGGCCCGGAUAUUACAAUAACCCCUCACUCGUCCAUAACGCUCUGGGUCAAUAAUUCGGCGAGCACCUGAGCUUCGACAUGACUGGUCGCGUCGGAUGAUGAUGACUACCCGACACGCUCUGAAAUAAGAGUUGUUACCCUGUCCUAUAAUGUACAAAAGAAAAAGUCAUAUUAAUGUAUGGCAAUAAUAGAACUGAUAAUAAUAUCGUUGAAAGAUUCAAAGAUUAAUAUAUACAACUAUAUCUCUUGCCUCCUUCCGAACAAAACUGUCAUCUUGGUGGGUAUGAGUCAUCUUAUAAAACUCCACCUUACCAGGCUCCCUCCCAUUAUCAUCCAUCUACAACAAAAAGUAUAUUGACAAGCUAGUUAUCAUGAUACAUGCUAUAUGAUAGAACAAUUUAAAAUAGUUGUAAAGAGUUUCAAAAAAACUUACGAAUUCAGCUCUACGCCUAGCAUAACUCAUCGAGCCUAAAGUAUGAGGAACAGUCUGAGAGGCUCGUGCAGCUCUACCAAUGUUGAAAUAUGUUUUUCCAAAAAAAGAAUAAACAAUAUAAUAUAUUUAAUGUAUAAAUUUGUAAUCUAUAUUAUUAGUAAAUACAAUCUAAGGUAUUGAAAAAAUAUACACAACCUGAGCUUUCUCUGAAAACCAGUAGUGGACAAGCCCCCUCCAUUGAUGAGGGAUUACAUCAGGAGGACAAACACGAGCCACCUCCUCUUCAGUCAUGCCCACGUGCUUUCAGUCCGCCUUUAGUUUCGCCUUAUAUUCUUUCCAUUUGCGGUUGACGGACUUCAACACCCAAUCAUGGCUAUUUGCAGGAAGGACAAACUUUUUCUACACCAAAGUCAAGAAUGUUAUAAUAAUGAUAAAUCAAAAAAUAAAAUUAUGAUAGUAAGCAAAUUCAAUUCUUUACCUCAAUAACUUUAAGAAGCUCAAUCUUAUACGAAGGAAGCAUUUCAUUCCAUUUCGUAUAGUUGAGCGGACACAACUGACCCUUCCGUGCAACCGAUCCUAGAAAAGUCGAUAAAAUGCUUGCAGCCCUCUUGAUAGGCUGCCCCAGUUCAUUGCAUUGAACGACGAUCUUCUUAUCCUCACGUAGACUCCACACGUCCUGUGCUCGAGUGGGUCCUCGUGUCCUCCUCACUCUUCUCAGUCCAUCUAUAAAAAUAAAAUAAAAUAUCCAUGGAUUGUAAGAAAAAUUAAUAUAAAAAUGUAAAUCAAAUUACCCUAGAUGUGCACGUCAUCCAUGUCUGGACAAUCAGCAGGUGGCACGUGCUCAGACUGAGACUCAUGCUGAUGGGGCUCGUCGGGCUGCUGAGACCGUGGGGACUGAUCGGAAGAAGAUCCCACGGAUGUGUGCUGAAACUCAACAUCUCUGAAUCGUUUUCCUCGCAGCAUGUUGUUACUUAGUAUGCACAAAAAGAAGUAAUAUUAGUUAAAUAAUAAAUAAAAUCUAAAUAAAUUGCUAAUUAAUUCAAUGUAUAGAAGUAAUUUCUAUACAUUAAGCAAAUGUAUAGAAAUGCCAGAAAUGCUUAGAACCUGCCACCAUUCUCCAACUGAUGAACAAAUAGCCCACGAUUUCCUAAUGCUCAGCACAGAACACAUCUCAAAGGCAAGUUCCAGUUCCUCUUUGUUUGAUUCUCCACUGUUAAUAGCUUUUUAAUCAACAACAGCCUCCCAAUAUCUCUAAGCUUCUUCAGAAUUGCACUCCUCCAAGUAGCAUAAAAAAUAGGAGGAACAGAUCCCUCCGCAGUGGGAAAAAAAAAAGAAUCAUAGAAACCUUUCACAAGGAAGAUCCCAUAUCCAAGUCACCCUGUCUAUGCCCUCAUUCAGAAGCACAUGCUGUUGGAUGCUAACCAAAUCAGCAGUCUCAUCUUGCUCCUCCUCAACUUGUAGAAGCUUUAAGAAAUCAACUGGUUACAAGAUUACUCUUAAGCACUAAAAAUGAAGGCAUAUCAUUAUAGGCUUUUGCUUUCAGAACAUGGUUCCAAAACACUUAAAUGGUUUCUAAGAGCUCUCAAUUUUAAAGUAAGUAUUUAUAGAAUUUUAAAAGUUACAUAGUUUCUAUGAGAAACAGUUAUAAGUUUAUAAACUAUCAAAUUAAUGAAGAAAUAAGAGAAUUAUACAACAUAUUCUAUGUUAUGUGGAUUGCAUUAUGUUAGAUUUAAUCUUAUGUAUCUAAUUAUGCACUUAGUUUCUAUUCCAGCGUUAAAUCAAUAAUAAAAGAAUUAAAAAAAUAAAUAGUGAUUUAGAUGUUUGAGAGAAUAUUUGUACAGCUAAACAUAUUAUGGCUUCCUAGUGUUUAAACCUUCAUGCUUCAAUCGAGUUCUGCUUUGGUGUUUAAGUGGCUGUUAGUGUUGACAAAUUUGAUUGAGUAAAUGAUCAAGUUGCAGUGGCAUGCUAAUGUUUCAAGUCAGUCAUUCCUAAGAUGAACGAUCACUUUAUUUAUUUGUUGGUUGCUAUAAGUCCACAUUUCCUUUUGUUGAUGAAUUCAUCUCAUGAGUAGUCGUCAAGUUCAUGGAACUGUAAAAGUUGAAGUAAUCUUUGAAGUUCCUCUUUCCAAUUCUUGUAUUCAUACUUUAUAGGAAUAGAUUCAUUUAUCUACAUAAACAAAUAAUGUAUAUUGUAAACAAACUGACAGCCUUACUCUUCUAUACAAACUCUAACAAUUUCUGAUUCCAUUCAUAAUCACAGAAAAUAGAUUUUAGACAAUUAACUAAUAAUAUCUUGUACCAUCAAGCUCAACAAGCUGAAUUUAUGUAUGCAAUGGUUAAGUUAAAAUUUGAUAGUAAAAGAAAGAAUGAAAAAAAAUAUCAUUAUUAAAGAGGCCAACGGUAACACUUCAGAAGUUACACAUAUUACCCUUGGUCGACCCACAAGCCAGCAAUGCAUCAACCAUUGCAGUAUAUGCAGUUCUAUCAAUAACAAGAUCAGGCAAUGAUUUCAUCUCCACCACAAUCUUCAGAACUGAAACCAGGUCUUUGUUGUUUCCUAAACCCUAAAGCACUUAUCAGACACAUGGGAUGCGCACCAAAUGCAAUGCCUAUCAGGAUUUUUGAGUCAGUGAACUGUUACACUCUGCUAAAGGUGAAUCUAACACCACUCUUUGCAAAUCCAAGCUCAAAAAAGAGGAGUCUAGGCAUGGAAAAGGAAAGGAAUGGAGGGGAAAUAGAGAGAAGAAGAUACAAGAAAUCUAGUCUAGAAAUACUACUAGUCUACCAUCCAAAAUCCCUUUGCUUUCUCAUCUGCUGCUCAGCGCUCUCUCUUCCAUUGUUCAUUGUUUUGCCUAACCCCAAUAACAGGAAAAUGUGUAUGAGGAUCAAGACGGAGAGUAUGAGGAUCACUUACCUCAGACGACGGCGAUGUCGACGGCGACGGAGUAGCUAGAGCUCGCUCGGGAUGGAGGUGAGCUGUCAGCGCGCAGCUA
rnacentral:lncRNA from 1 species